rnacentral:rRNA from 1 species
UUCCGGUUGAUCCUGCCGGACCCUACUGCUAUCGGGGUGGGACUAAAACAUGCAAGUCGAGCGCCUCCAAGCUAUGGUGAAGGCGCGGCAAACGGCUCAGUAACACGUGGCCAACCUACCCUUGGGGCGGAGACAACCCCGGGAAACUGGGGCUAAUCCCCGAUAGGUGAGGAAUCCUGGAAUGGAUCCUCGCCCAAAAGACGUUGAGUCCAUGCUAUUCAGCGCCGCCCAAGGAUGGGGCCGCGACCGAUCAGGUAGUUGGUGAGGCAACGGCUCACCAAGCCUAUAACCGGUACGGGCCCUGAGAGGGGGAGCCCGGAGAUGGAAACUGAGACAAUGUUCCAGGCCCUACGGGGCGCAGCAGGCGCGAAACCUCCACAAUGCGCGAAAGCGUGAUGGGGUUAGCCCGAGUGCCGUCCGAAAAGGAUGGCUUUUCCUUGGCGUAAAAACCCUGGGGAAUAAAGGGGGGGCAAGACUGGUGUCAGCCGCCGCGGUAAUACCAGCCCCCUGAGUGGUAAGGACGAUUAUUUGGCUUAAAGCGUCCGUAGCCGGCUUAGUGAGUCUUUUGUUAAAUCCAAUGAUUCAAUCAUUGAACUGCAAGAGAUACUGCUAUGCUAGAGGACGGGAGAGGUCGACGGUAGUCCAGGGGUAGGGGUGAAAUCCUAUAAUCCUUGGAGGACCACCAGUGGCGAAGGCGGUCGACUAGAACGUGCCUGACGGUGAGGGACGAAAGCUGGGGGAGCGAACCGGAUUAGAUACCCGGGUAGUCCCAGCUGUAAACGAUGCGGGCUAGGUGUUGAGGUGGCUACGAGUCACUUCAGUGCCGCAGGAAGCCAUUAAGCCCGCCGCCUGGGGAGUACGGCCGCAAGGCUGAACUUAAAGGAAUGGCGGGGAGCACACAGGCGUGAGCUGCGUUAAUGGAUCACGCCGGU